rnacentral:rRNA from 1 species
CCUACGGGAGGCAGCAGUAGGGAAUCUNCGCAAUGGACGCAAGUCUGACGGAGCAACGCCGCGUGAGUGACGAAGGUUUUCGGAUCGUAAAACUCUGUUGUGAGGGAAGAACAAGUACCAACUAACUACUGGUACCGUGACGGUACCUCACCAGAAAGCCACGGCUAACUACGUGCCAGCAGCCGCGGUAAUACGUAGGUGGCAAGCGUUGUCCGGAAUUAUUGGGCGUAAAGCGCGCGCAGGCGGUCCUUUAAGUCUGAUGUGAAAGCCCACGGCUCAACCGUGGAGGGUCAUUGGAAACUGGAGGACUUGAGUGCAGAAGAGGAAAGUGGAAUUCCACGUGUAGCGGUGAAAUGCGUAGAGAUGUGGAGGAACACCAGUGGCGAAGGCGACUUUCUGGUCUGUAACUGACGCUGAGGCGCGAAAGCGUGGGGAGCAAACAGGAUUAGAUACCCUGGUAGUCCACGCCGUAAACGAUGAGUGCUAAGUGUUAGGGGGUUUCCGCCCCUUAGUGCUGCAGCUAACGCAUUAAGCACUCCGCCUGGGGAGUACGGCCGCAAGGCUGAAACUCAAAUGAAUUGACGGGG